GAUGAACGCUGGCGGCGUGCCUAAUACACGCAAGUCGAACGAGGUGCUUUUGUAGCAAUACGAGAGUAUCCUAGUGGCGAACGGGUGAGUAACGCGUUGGUGACCUACCCCAAAGUGUGGGAUAACAGUCCGAAAGGAUUGCUAAUACCGCAUGUGGUCUUCGGAUUUAGAAACUGAUGACUAAAGGAGCAAUUCGCUUUGGGAGGGACCUGCGUCCCAUCAGCUAGUUGGUGAGGUAAUGGCUCACCAAGGCGACGACGGGUAGGGGACCUGAGAGGGUGACCCCCCACAAUGGAACUGAAACACGGUCCAUACACCUACGGGUGGCAGCAGUAGGGAAUAUUGCUCAAUGGGCGAAAGCCUGAAGCAGCAACGCCGCGUGUGCGAUGAAGGCCUUCGGGUCGUAAAGCACUUUUCUGGGAGAUGAGAAAGGACAGUAUCCCAGGAAUAAGUCUCGGCUAACUACGUGCCAGCCGCCGCAGUAACAC
rnacentral:rRNA from 1 species